rnacentral:rRNA from 1 species
GACGAACGCUGGCGGCGCGCUUAACACAUGCAAGUCGAGCGAUGAAAUUUCGACAGAUCCCUUCGGGGUGAAGAUGAAAUGGAUUAGCGGCGGACGGGUGAGUAACACGUGAGUAACCUGCCUUUGACAUUGGGAUAGCCUCGGGAAACUGGGAUUAAUACCAAAUGACACUAACUGAUCACAUGAUCAAUUAGUCAAAGAAAUUCGGUCAAAGAUGGACUCGCGGCUGAUUAGCUAGUUGGUGAGGUAACGGCCCACCAAGGCGACGAUCAGUAGCCGGCCUGAGAGGGUGAUCGGCCACAUUGGAACUGAGACACGGUCCAAACUCCUACGGGAGGCAGCAGUGGGGAAUAUUGCACAAUGGGGGAAACCCUGAUGCAGCGACGCCGCGUGAGCGAAGAAGGCCUUCGGGUCGUAAAGCUCUUUUAUGAGGGAAGAUAAUGACGGUACCGCAAGAAAAAGCCCCGGCUAACUACGUG